rnacentral:rRNA from 1 species
AUGAACCCCUCCUCGGCCCCGGGACCUGACGGUCUUCCAGUGGCUUUCUUCAAGACGUUCUGGCCGACCAUCAAGCUGGAGGUCAUGGCUCUCUUUGAGGAAUUCUACUCGGGCUCCAUGGACCUGGGUCACCUUAAUUAUGGGGUGGUGACCCUCAUCCCCAAGGUCCCGGGCGCCUCCGAUAUUCGUCAGUUCCGCCCCAUCACAGUGAUUAAUGUGAUUUUUCGGAUCCUGGCUAAGGGGUACGCCAAUAGGGUGACCCUCCUUGCGGACACUAUCACCCACCCGAACCAAUCCGCCUUCAUUCAAGGCCGAUUUAUCCUGGAUGGGGUGUUGGUGUUCCACGAAGUGCUCCACGAGGUCCGCCUGAAGCGCCAUAGGGCGGUCUUUCUCAAGUUGGACUUCCACAAAGCCUACGACACGGUGCACUGGCCGUUCCUGAGGGAAGUCCUUCUUCGCAAGGGCUUCGAUGACCGUUGGGUGACCCGAGUCAUGCAGCUCGUCUCUUGUGGUCGGACUGCGGUGAACAUCAACGGCGACAUUGGGCCCUUCUUCCCUACCCUCUGCGGGGUCCGGCAGGGAGAUCCCUUCUCGCCGUUCUUGUUCAACAUGGUUGUGGAUGCCUUGGCCGCCAUCUUGGAUAAGGCCAAGGCUGCUGGGCAUAUUAGAGGCCUUGUCCCGCACCUUGUUGGAGGGGGAGGGGUCUCCCUUCUACAAUACGCGGAUGACACCAUUAUUAUGGUCGAGGGGUCUGCCUUAGAGAUCUCCAACCUGAAGUUCCUUCUUCUGUGCUUCCAACAAAUGUCGGGCCUCACCAUCAACUUUGAUAAGAGCGAAGUGAUGGUGCUCGGUUACCCCUCUGAGGACGCACAGUCCAUUGCCGACCGGCUUAACUGUCGGCUGGGUUCUUUCCCCACGACCUAUCUGGGGAUCCCCAUUAGUGACUCGCGCCUCACCGUGGCGGACCUCCGCCCCACGGUGACCCGUAUGCAACAUCGCGUAGAGCCCUGGAAAGGGCGUUGGCUAUCGAAGGCGGCGCGCGUGAUCCUUAUCAACUCAUCGCUAGCCAGCCUCCUGUGGUUCCUUAUGAGCUUCUAUAGCCUUCAUGAAACGCUCCAUCAGGAGGUCGCCAAAUACCAGUCCAGAUUCUUCUGGGCUGGGGAGGAGGGCAAGCAGAAAUACCACAUGGUCAGCUGGCCAGAC